ensembl:lncRNA
GCAAGUGGUGAUCACUAAGCAGCCUUUAUAAGGGUUAUUCCUGGUGAGGCUUUGGCUAGAGAGGAAAGGAGAAGGCAAGUGGUGAUCACUAAGCAUCUAAAGGAGGACGUGCAGGGAUGAGACCCAUGGACCACAGUGUGCUGAAAUGUAUCUUCUCCCUAUUCUUGCUAACAGUAUCUGCAUCAGGCACGCUAUCCAACGCAGCAGUUACUACUAUCCAACCACUAUCAAAUACAGCCAGUGCAUCCCAACCAGCCAACACAGCCACUUCAUCCAGUGCAACCACACCAUCCUGUUUGACCCGUCGAUGUCUGGCCAGCAUGCUGAUUGCGAAAGAAGCUCGGAGUCCGCCACAGUCUCCACGGUGCAUCUCAAUUAUCCGUGUGCCGUCAAUCGUGUACGA